rnacentral:rRNA from 1 species
UACGAAGGGGGCUAGCGUUGCUCGGAAUCACUGGGCGUAAAGCGCACGUAGGCGGACUCUUAAGUCGGUGGUGAAAUCCUGGAGCUCAACUCCAGAACUGCCUUCGAUACUGAGAGUCUUGAGUUCGGAAGAGGGUCGUGGAAUUCCCAGUGUAGAGGUGAAAUUCGUAGAUAUUGGGAAGAACACCGGUGGCGAAAGGCGGCGCCU